rnacentral:rRNA from 1 species
GUAAAAAGUAGAAUAAUAGAUUUGAAAUAUUUAUUAUAUAGAUUUAAAGAGAUAAUCAUGGAGUAUAAAUUAUUAAAAAUAAGUUUUAUUUAAAUUUUUAAUAAUAACUAUUAAUAGAAUUAGGUUACAAAUAAAUUAAUAAUAAUUAAUUUUAAAACCUAAAGGGAAACCUUAAUAUUAAUAAUAUAUAUUAUUUAUAUUAUUAAUAUGAUAAUAACUAAGUGAACUGAAACAUCUAAGUAACUUAAGGAUAAUAAAUCAACAGAGAUAUUAUGAGUAUUGGUGAGAGAAAAUAAUAAAGGUCUAAUAAGUAUUAUGUGAAAAAAAUGUAAGAAAAUAGGAUAACAAAUUCUAAGACUAAAUACUAUUAAUAAGUAUAGUAAGUACCGUAAGGGAAAGUAUGAAAAUGAUUAUUUUAUAAGCAAUCAUGAAUAUAUUAUAUUAUAUUAAUGAUGUACCUUUUGUAUAAUGGGUCAGCAAGUAAUUAAUAUUAGUAAAACAAUAAGUUAUAAAUAAAUAGAAUAAUAUAUAUAUAUAAAAAAAUAUAUUAAAAUAUUUAAUUAAUAUUAAUUGACCCGAAAGCAAACGAUCUAACUAUGAUAAGAUGGAUAAACGAUCGAACAGGUUGAUGUUGCAAUAUCAUCUGAUUAAUUGUGGUUAGUAGUGAAAGACAAAUCUGGUUUGCAGAUAGCUGGUUUUCUAUGAAAUAUAUGUAAGUAUAGCCUUUAUAAAUAAUAAUUAUUAUAUAAUAUUAUAUUAAUAUUAUAUAAAGAAUGGUACAGCAAUUAAUAUAUAUUAGGGAACUAUUAAAGUUUUAUUAAUAAUAUUAAAUCUCGAAAUAUUUAAUUAUAUAUAAUAAAGAGUCAGAUUAUGUGCGAUAAGGUAAAUAAUCUAAAGGGAAACAGCCCAGAUUAAGAUAUAAAGUUCCUAAUAAAUAAUAAGUGAAAUAAAUAUUAAAAUAUUAUAAUAUAAUCAGUUAAUGGGUUUGACAAUAACCACUUUUUAAUGAACAUGUAACAAUGCACUGAUUUAUAAUAAAUAAAAAAAUAAUAUUUAAAAUCAAAUAUAUAUAUUUGUUAAUAGAUAAUAUACGGAUCUUAAUAAUAAGAAUUAUUUAAUUCCUAAUAUGGAAUAUUAUAUUUUUAUAAUAAAAAAUAUAAAUACUGAAUAUCUAAAUAUUAUUAUUACUUUUUUUUUUUUAAUAAUAAUAAUAUGGUAAUAGAACAUUUAAUGAUAAUAUAUAUUAGUUAUUAAUUAAUAUAUGUAUUAAUUAAAUAGAGAAUGCUGACAUGAGUAACGAAAAAAAGGUAUAAACCUUUUCACCUAAAACAUAAGGUUUAACUAUAAAAGUACGGCCCCUAAUUAAAUUAAUAAGAAUAUAAAUAUAUUUAAGAUGGGAUAAUCUAUAUUAAUAAAAAUUUAUCUUAAAAUAUAUAUAUUAUUAAUAAUUAUAUUAAUUAAUUAAUAAUAUAUAUAAUUAUAUUAUAUUAUAUAUUAUAUUUUUAAUAUAUAUAUAUAUAUAUAUAUAAACUAAUAAAGAUCAGGAAAUAAUUAAUGUAUACCGUAAUGUAGACCGACUCAGGUAUGUAAGUAGAGAAUAUGAAGGUGAAUUAGAUAAUUAAAGGGAAGGAACUCGGCAAAGAUAGCUCAUAAGUUAGUCAAUAAAGAGUAAUAAGAACAAAGUUGUACAACUGUUUACUAAAAACACCGCACUUUGCAGAAACGAUAAGUUUAAGUAUAAGGUGUGAACUCUGCUCCAUGCUUAAUAUAUAAAUAAGAUUAUUUAACGAUAAUUUAAUUAAAUUUAGGUAAAUAGCAGCCUUAUUAUGAGGGUUAUAAUGUAGCGAAAUUCCUUGGCCUAUAAUUGAGGUCCCGCAUGAAUGACGUAAUGAUACAACAACUGUCUCCCCUUUAAGCUAAGUGAAAUUGAAAUCGUAGUGAAGAUGCUAUGUACCUUCAGCAAGACGGAAAGACCCUAUGCAGCUUUACUGUAAUUAGAUAGAUCGAAUUAUUGUUUAUUAUAUUCAGCAUAUUAAGUAAUCCUAUUAUUAGGUAAUCGUUUAGAUAUUAAUGAGAUACUUAUUAUAAUAUAAUGAUAAUUCUAAUCUUAUAAAUAAUUAUUAUUAAUAAUAAUAAUAGUGAUAAACAUAUUUAUAUGAUAAUCACUUUACUUAAUAGAUAUAAUUCUUAAGUAAUAUAUAAUAUAUAUUAUAUAUAUAUUAUAUAUAAUAUAAGAGACAAUCUCUAAUUGGUAGUUUUGAUGGGGCGUCAUUAUCAGCAAAAGUAUCUGAAUAAGUCCAUAAAUAAAUAUAUAAAAUUAUUGAAUAAAAAAAUAAUAUAUAUUAUAUAUAUUAAUUAUAAAUUGAAAUAUGUUUAUAUAAAUUUAUAUUUAUUGAAUAUAUUUUAGUAAUAGAUAAAAAUAUGUACAGUAAAAUUGUAAGGAAAACAAUAAUAACUUUCUCCUCUCUCGGUGGGGGUUCACACCUAUUUUUAAUAGGUGUUCACUCCUCUUCGGGGUUUCGGUUCCCUUUCGGGUCCCGAAACUAAAUAAUUAUAUUAUGGAAAGAAUUAAAUUAAUAUAAUGGUAUAACUGUGCGAUAAUUGUAACACAAACGAGUGAAACAAGUACGUAAGUAUGGCAUAAUGAACAAAUAACACUGAUUGUAAAGGUUAUUGAUAACGAAUAAAAGUUACGCUAGGGAUAACAGGGUAAUAUAACGAAAGAGUAGAUAUUGUAAGUUAUGUUUGCCACCUCGAUGUCGACUCAACAUUUCCUCUUGGUUGUAAAAGCUAAGAAGGGUUUGACUGUUCGUCAAUUAAAAUGUUACGUGAGUUGGGUUAAAUACGAUGUGAAUCAGUAUGGUUCCUAUCUGCUGAAGGAAAUAUUAUCAAAUUAAAUCUCAUUAUUAGUACGCAAGGACCAUAAUGAAUCAACCCAUGGUGUAUCUAUUGAUAAUAAUAUAAUAUAUUUAAUAAAAAAAAAAAAUAAUACUUUAUUAAUAUAUUAUCUAUAUUAGUUUAUAUUUUUAUUAUAUAUUAUCAUAGUAGAUAAGCUAAGUUGAUAAUAAAUAAAUAUUGAAUACAUAUUAAAUAUGAAGUUGUUUUAAUAAGAUAAUUAAUCUGAUAAUUUUAUACUAAAAUUAAUAAUUAUAGGUUUUAUAUAUUAUUUAUAAAUAAAUAUAAUAUAAUAAUAAUAAUUAUUAUUAUUAUUAAUAAAAAUAAAAAAAAUAUUAAUUAUAAUAUUAAUAAAAUACUAAUUUAUCAGUUAUCUAUAUAAUAUCUAAUCUAUUAUUCUAUAUACU